GACGAACGCAGGCGGCGUGCUUAACACAUGCAAGUCGAACGGGCUCUGUCUGGCUGUGUGCUGGGUGGGGUUAGUGGCGAACGGGUGAGUAAUACGUGAGUAACCUGCCCUCUUCUUUGGGAUAAGCCUUGGAAACGGGGUCUAAUACUGGAUAUUCCUGUCUGGUCGCAUGGCUGGGUGGGGAAAGUUUUUUCGGUGGGGAUGGGCUCGCGGCCUAUCAGCUUGUUGGUGGGGUGAUGGCCUACCAAGGCGUCGACGGGUAGCCGGCCUGAGAGGGUGACCGGCCACACUGGGACUGAGAUACGGCCCAGACUCCUACGGGAGGCAGCAGUGGGGGAUAUUGCACAAUGGGCGCAAGCCUGAUGCAGCGACGCCGCGUGGGGGAUGACGGCUUUCGGGUUGUAAACCUCUUUCGUCGGGGGACAAGGCUCUGCUUGGUGGUGGGGUGAGG
rnacentral:rRNA from 1 species